GGUUAAGCGACUAAGCGUACACGGUGGAUGCCUAGGCAGUCAGAGGCGAUGAAGGGCGUGCUAAUCUGCGAAAAGCGUCG
rnacentral:rRNA from 1 species